UCCAUAAUUGAGGAUGCCUGGAAGGGUUUCUCAACAAAAGCACAAUUUAAAUGGUAAUUGUAGCGCCUUAGGAUAGGAUCGCGCCCGAUUAUGGCUGUUGGUGAGGUAACGGCUCACCAAACCUAUUAUCGGUAAGGGCCGUGAGAGCGGGAGCCCUGAGAUGGGUACUGAGACAAUGACCCAGGUCUUACGAGACGCAGCAGGCGCGAAAUCUUCACAAUGCACGAAAGUGUGAUGAGGUUACCCGGAGUGCUACAAAGUAGCUGUGGUAGGUGAGUAAGAUUCCCUACUAGGAAGGAGAGGGCAAGGCUGGUGCCAGCCGCCGCGGUAAAACCAGCUCUUCAAGUGGUCGGGAUUUUUAUUGGGCUUAAAGUGUCCGUAGCCGGUAUAUUAAGUUCUUGGUUAAAUCUGAUAGCCUAACUAUCUGUUGGCUAAGAAUACUACUAUACUAGGGGGCGGGAGAGGUUUGAGGUACUCCAGGGGUAGCGGUGAAAUGCGAUAAUCCUUGGGGGACCACCAGUGGCGAAGGCGUCAGACUGGAACGCGCCCGACGGUGAGGGACGAAAGCCAGGGGAGCGAACCGGAUUAGAUACCCGGGUAGUCCUGGCCGUAAACGAUGCGUGCUAGGUGUUGGUAUGGCUAUGAGCCGUAUCAGUGCCGUAGGG
rnacentral:rRNA from 1 species